ACGCUCGACACCUACGGGAGGCAGCAGUGGGGAAUAUUGCACAAUGGGGGAAACCCUGAUGCAGCAACGCCGCGUGAGUGAAGAAGUAUUUCGGUAUGUAAAGCUCUAUCAGCAGGGAAGAAAAUGACGGUACCUGACUAAGAAGCCCCGGCUAACUACGUGCUAGCAGCCGCGGUAAUCUGAGCGGGCUGGCAAGGC
rnacentral:rRNA from 1 species